GAUCAUGGCUCAGGACGAACGCUGGCGGCGUGCUUAACACAUGCAAGUCGAACGCUGAAGCCUAGCUUGCUGGGUGGAUGAGUGGCGAACGGGUGAGUAACACGUGAGUAACCUGCCCUCUUCUUUGGGAUAACGCCCGGAAACGGGUGCUAAUACUGGAUAUUCACUGGCUUUCGCAUGGGGGUUGGUGGAAAGGUUUUUUCUGGUGGGGGAUGGGCUCGCGGCCUAUCAGCUUGUUGGUGGGGUGA
rnacentral:rRNA from 1 species